rnacentral:lncRNA from 1 species
UUUGCCUGACAGUCCGUGCAGCCAACCUUCUGCUUCCAGCGUCUGAAUUCAACUAAAUACUUAGUGUACAGUUGCUUCUGUGAAUAAGGAAGUGGCAAGAGCUGCUUCUCUUUCACACUCUUUCCAGUAGCCAGGUUCCAGAUCAGUAAUCUCCACCUCCUUGUGUGGUUCUGAAAACUUGGACCAAGGGCCCUGGAAACUAUACUGCAGGCCCCUGAGAAAACAGAGAAGGAGAAGAGGAGCGUGGGAUGCUUAUUUCUUUCUGUCUUCAAGACAAAAGCCUGAUCCAUGCUAGCCAGAAGGAAUGAACAGUAUAUUCUGAACCUAAGUUCCCAGGAUGGAGGAUCAUAAAAGCUUGGGGUUUCCUCUGUGCCUGCAGACACCACCAUCCAGCUGGGGAGCCCCAAGCCAGCAGCGUGGUAGUCUCAGCAGAUGGCUUUCCCAGUUAGCAGAUUGAGUGUGGAUGCAAGGCAGUAAUGUAAUGGCAAACAGAGGUCCUAUUUUCUGGCCAUUUGUGUCCAGUCAAGCCACACUUCUGGUCUAGUGUGGCAUCAGUUUCCUGCUCUGUAAAACAGGUAGUUUAACUAGAUGAGUACUUUUCAUUUGUCUAAUAUCAAAGAUGAAUCAUUUCAACAGCAGAUUCCACCCCUCUCCCCUACCCACCCCACCCCUUCCCCCACUGCCUUGAAGGAGCUUUGAAGCUAUGAAGAGCUGUUUGUCUGAAAGCGCUCUCUCUCUCUCUCUCUCUCUC